rnacentral:rRNA from 1 species
GAUGAACGCUGGCGGCGUGCCUAAUACAUGCAAGUCGAGCGAACAGACGGGGAGCUUGCUCCUCUGAUGUUAGCGGCGGACGGGUGAGUAACACGUGGAUAACCUACCUAUAAGACUGGGAUAACUUCGGGAAACCGGAGCUAAUACCGGAUAACAUGUUGAACCGCAUGGUUCAACAGUGAAAGACGGUCUUGCUGUCACUUAUAGAUGGAUCCGCGCCGCAUUAGCUAGUUGGUAAGGUAACGGCUUACCAAGGCAACGAUGCGUAGCCGACCUGAGAGGGUGAUCGGCCACACUGGAACUGAGACACGGUCCAGACUCCUACGGGAGGCAGCAGUAGGGAAUCUUCCGCAAUGGGCGAAAGCCUGACGGAGCAACGCCGCGUGAGUGAUGAAGGUCUUCGGAUCGUAAAACUCUGUUAUUAGGGAAGAACAAAUGUGUAAGUAACUAUGCACGUCUUGACGGUACCUAAUCAGAAAGCCACGGCUAACUACGUG